GCCCGUGUGGUCUAACUGGCUAUGAUUCGCGCUUAACUAAGAUUACAGGUAUGUGAGGUUCCGUGUUCGAAUCACGGCUCGGGCC